rnacentral:tRNA from 1 species
GAGCCUCUAGCUCAAUGGGAGAGCGCUCGCUGAAAAUGCGAGGGGUUCCCGGUUCAAGUCCGGGGAGGCUCA